rnacentral:tRNA from 1 species
GCGAAACAGCUCAGUUGGAAAAGCAUUAGACUAUAGAUCGAACAGUCCCUGGUUCGAUCCGGGGUUCUGGCA